CAGAGUUAUCCAACUCCCAAACCCAUGUGAACUUAUCUCUUUGUUGCCUCGGCGCAAGCUACCCGGGACCUCGCGCCCCGGGCGGCCCGCCGGCGGACAAACCAAAACUCUUGUUAUCUUAGUUGCUUAUCUGAGUGUCUUAUUUAAUAAGUCA
rnacentral:misc_RNA from 1 species